rnacentral:lncRNA from 1 species
GUCUUAAAUAUUGAAUUGGUUAUGAAAACAAACAGACUCCACGGAGGAGCCAGGAGCCGGGACGUACCCUGGACAGGGCCUCUGCCUCCUGCCUGUCCGCUGCCACAUUCCCAGGGGGUCGUGAGACUUUCUGCUCAGCAGGAGGGGGGCCGCAGAAGAGCAGGAGCAGCCUUGGGUGGGCUUCUCCAGGGUCACCUUUUCCAGCUUUUGAACAAGAGACCGGCGUCUUCAAUUCACUCCCGGCCCCGCCAGUCACCCUGGGUCCUGGGAGACACUUCUGCAGACAACUUGUCACGGGUGGCCCACAAUGCGACUUUCAAGGUUUUCUGGAAAAUCCAUGAAUAAUGGAAGUGUUUCUUAGUCGACACUCUCAGGAAUGGACCCCCUCACCCAGGCCCUGCUCGCUUGCCCCUGAAGGUAUAAAGCUCACUGUCCUGGACCGGGGUCUUGGCUCAAGCAUCAGCACAAUCGCUUGGGGUGUCUGUUCCACCUGCAGAGCCAUACCUGCUCUUACGUGUGUGUACGGGAUGUUUCUGGAAGGGCUCCCAGGGCAACGUCAACAUUGACUCUGAGAGGGGAGCUCGCUGGGCUGGAGACAGUGAGAUGAAAUCUUUUCUCUGUAAACCCUUCUCUGCUUAAAAAAAUAAGCCCCCAAAGCCACGUUCCACAAAGUGCCUGCUCCCAGGCGAGCAGCUCAGUGGACCCAGCAGUGCAGCUCCACCACGGGGCCCCCGUGUGGAGCCCCGGGAGGCCACUUCACUCAUCGUCACGUGCUGAGACCCGUCUGUGGCGUGCAGGCAGCCCUUGUUCUUUGUCAGUGCUGCGUAGUACUCCACUGCUCGAAUGCCCCAAAGCUUAUUUAUCCAUCCUCCUACGGAAGGAUGCAUUGUUCCUCCCAGUUUCUGGUGCUAUGGACACUUCAUAGGUAGCCUCUGGCUUCUUUGGGGUGCGCACAUAGCCCUCUCCUUUUAAAAUCUUAAACGUUAGCCAUUCAGCAAGUAAAUAAACUGGGAAAUGUUCUUGUGUACCCUGGGCCC